ACCGGCGGCCCGAGUGGUGAUCGUGAUUAUUGGGUCUAAAGGGUCCGUAGCCGGUUUGGUCAGUCCUUCCGGGAAAUCUGAUAGCUCAACUAUUAGGCUUUCGGGGGAUACUGCCAGACUGGAACCGGGAGAGGUAAGAGGUACUACAGGGGUAGGAGUGAAAUCUUGUAAUCCCUGUGGGACCACCUGUGGCGAAGGCGUCUUACCAGAACGGGUUCGACGGUGAGGGACGAAAGCUGGGGGCACGAACCGGAUUAGAUACCCGGGUAGUCCCAGCCGUAAACGAUGCUCGCUAGGUGUCAGGCAUGGCGCGACCGUGUCUGGUGCCGCAGGGAAGCCGUGAAGCGAGCCACCUGGGAAGUACGGCCGCAAGGCUGAAACUUAAAGGAAUUGGCGGGGGAGCACAACAACGGGUGGAGCCCUGCGGUUUAAUUGGACUCAACGCCGGACAACUCACCGGGGGCGACAGCAAUAUGUAGGCCAAGCUGAAGACUUUGCCUGAAUCGCUGAGAAGUGGUGCAUGG
rnacentral:rRNA from 1 species